UGGGAUACUUCAGUUGGUGGAGCAUGAGACUCUUAAUCCCAGGAUUGUGGGUUCAAGUCCCGUGUUGGGGAAAA